AAGACUAUAGACCUGCGGAGUACCUGCGGAGGGAUCAUUAUCGAAUAAAAAACACGGAUGGGGUUGUCGCUGGCCUCUGCUGUUGAAUUUAAUUUAAUUCGAUUCGACAGUGGGGAGCAUGUGCACGCCUUGUUCAUGUUCCACCUUCACACCUCUGUGCACUUCUCACAGGUCAGGCAGUGUAUGUUUUGAAAUAUAGACUGCGUUGUUCUGCCUGUGUGUUUUUAUUAUUACACGUUG
rnacentral:misc_RNA from 1 species